rnacentral:rRNA from 1 species
CAAUAGCAUAUAUUAACGUUGUUGCAGUUGAAAAGCUCGUAGUUGAACUUUUGGUAGGAGCGACCUGGCCUUGGGCGCAUGCCCUUGUUUGCCGUGUGUCGUGUCUGGCCAUCCUUUUCUUCGUUUUUCGGCGGGAUCUUUUACUGUGAGUAAACUGGAGUGCUCAAAACAAGACGUUUGUUUGGUACAUUAAAGCAUGGAAUAAUAAGAUAGGACCUGGUUACUAUUUUGUUGGUUUGCAUAGCUAGGUAAUGAUUAACAGGGACAGUUGGGGGUAUUCGUAUUUAAUUGUCAGAGGUGAAAUUCUUGGAUUUAUGAAAGACGAACGACUGCGAAAGCAUUUACCAAGGAUGUUUUCAUUAA